AGGGGAUUGGUGUAGUGGUAACACGUCUGGUUUUGAGCCAGAAGCUAUCAGUUCGAUUCUGGUAUCCCCCGCCA
rnacentral:tRNA from 2 species